AUGAACGCUGGCGGCGUGCCUUAUACCUGCAAGUCGAGCGAACGGACGAGAAGCUUGCUUCUCUGAUGUUAGCGGCGGACGGGUGAGUAACACGUGGAUAACCUACCUAUAAGUCUGGGAUAACUUCGGGAAACCGGAGCUAAUACCGGAUAAUAUUUUGAACCGCAUGGUUCAAAAGUGAAAGACGGUCUUGCUGUCACUUAUAGAUGGAUCCGCGCUGCAUUAGCUAGUUGGUAAGGUAACGGCUUACCAAGGCAACGAUGCAUAGCCGACCUGAGAGGGUGAUCGGCCACACUGGAACUGAGACACGGUCCAGACCCCUACGGGAGGCAGCAGUAGGGAAUCUUCCGCAAUGGGCGAAAGCCUGACGGAGCAACGCCGCGUGAGUGAUGAAGGUCUUCGGAUCGUAAAACUCUGUUAUUAGGGAAGAACAUAUGUGUAAGUAACUGUGCACAUCUUGACGGUACCUAAUCAGAAAGCCACGGCUAACUACGUG
rnacentral:rRNA from 1 species